rnacentral:rRNA from 1 species
CUCGUAGGCGGUUCGGCAAGUCGGAUGUGAAAUCUCCACGCUCAACGUGGAGGGGCCAUUCGAAACUGCCGUGACUCGAGUCCGGUAGGGGAGUUCGGAAUUCCCGGUGUAGCGGUGAAAUGCGCAGAUAUCGGGAGGAACACCAGUGGCGAAGGCGGAACUCUGGGCCGGAACUGACGCUGAGGAGCGAAAGCGUGGGGAGCGAACA